rnacentral:rRNA from 1 species
UGGGGAAUAUUGCACAAUGGGCGAAAGCCUGAUGCAGCAACGCCGCGUGAGUGAUGAAGGCCUUCGGGUUGUAAAGCUCUGUCUUUUGGGACGAUAAUGACGGUACCAAAGGAGGAAGCCACGGCUAACUACGUGCCAGCAGCCGCGGUAAUACGUAGGUGGCAAGCGUUGUCCGGAUUUACUGGGCGUAAAGGAUGCGUAGGCGGAUUUUUAAGUGAGAUGUGAAAUACCCGGGCUUAACUUGGGUGCUGCAUUUCAAACUGGGAAUCUAGAGUGCGGGAGAGGAGAAUGGAAUUCCUAGUGUAGCGGUGAAAUGCGUAGAGAUUAGGAAGAACACCAGUGGCGAAGGCGAUUCUCUGGACCGUAACUGACGCUGAGGCAUGAAAGCGUGGGUAGCAAACAGGAUUAGAUACCCUGGUAGUCCACGCCGUAAACGAUGAGUACUAGGUGUAGGAGGUAUCGACCCCUUCUGUGCCGCAGUUAACACAAUAAGUACUCCGCCUGGGAAGUACGAUCGCAAGAUUAAGACUCAAAGGAAUUGACGGGGUCAUAGCUGUUUUCC